GACGUAGGGCGCGAGCGUUGUCCGGAUUUAUUGGGCGUAAAGAGCUCGUAGGCGGCUCGUCGCGUCGACCGUGAAAACUUGGGGCUCAACCCCAAGCCUGCGGUCGAUACGGGCAGGCUCGAGUUCGGUAGGGGAGACUGGAAUUCCUGGUGUAGCGGUGAAAUGCGCAGAUAUCAGGAGGAACACCGGUGGCGAAGGCGGGUCUCUGGGCAGUAACUGACGCUGAGGAGCGAAAGCGUGGGGAGCGAACAGG
rnacentral:rRNA from 1 species